AACGAACGCUGGCGGCAUGCCUAACACAUGCAAGUCGAACGAGACCUUCGGGUCUAGUGGCGCACGGGUGCGUAACGCGUGGGAACCUGCCCUUAGGUUCGGAAUAACUCCCCGAAAGGGGUGCUAAUACCGGAUAAUGUCUUCGGACCAAAGAUUUAUCGCCUUUGGAUGGGCCCGCGUUGGAUUAGCUAGUUGGUAGGGUAAAAGCCUACCAAGGCGACGAUCCAUAGCUGGUCUGAGAGGAAGAUCAGCCACACUGGGACUGAGACACGGCCCAGACUCCUCCGGGAGGCAGCAGUGGGGAAUAUUGGAACAUGGGCGAAAGCAUGAUCCAGCACUGCCGCGUGAGUGAUGAAGGCCUUAGGGUUGUAAAGCUCUUUUACCCGGGAUGAUAAUGACAGUACCGGGAGAAUAAGCCCCGGCUAACUCCGUG
rnacentral:rRNA from 1 species